AGUAGCAAUACAACGUGGUGGCGACCGGCGCACGGGUGAGUAACGCGUAUGCAACCUACCUAUCAGAGGGGAAUAACCCGGCGAAAGUCGGACUAAUACCGCAUAAAACAGGGGCACCGCAUGGUGAUAUUUGUUAAAGAGAUUCGCUGAUAGAUGGGCAUGCGUUCCAUUAGGUAGUUGGUGAGGUAACGGCUCACCAAGCCGACGAUGGAUAGGGGAACUGAGAGGUUGGUCCCCCACACUGGUACUGAGACACGGACCAGACUCCUACGGGAGGCAGCAGUGAGGAAUAUUGGUCAAUGGGCGGGAGCCUGAACCAGCCAAGUCGCCGUGAAGGAAGAAGGAUCUAUGGUUCGUAAACUUCUUUUGCAGGGGAAUAAAGUGCAGGACGUGUCCUGUUUUGUAUGUACCCUGAGAAUAAGGAUCGGCUAACUCCGUGCCAGCCGCCGC
rnacentral:rRNA from 1 species